UACAGAGGUCUCAAGCGUUGUUCGGAUUCAUUGGGCGUAAAGGGUGCGUAGGCGGCGCGGUAAGUCGGGUGUGAAAUCUCGGGGCUUAACUCCGAAACUGCAUUCGAUACUGCCGUGCUUGAGGACUGGAGAGGAGACUGGAAUUUACGGUGUAGCGGUGAAAUGCGUAGAGAUCGUGAGGAAGACCCGUGGCGAAGGCGGAUCUCUGGACGGCUAACUGACGCUGAGGCGCGAAGGCCAGGGGAGCAAACGGG
rnacentral:rRNA from 1 species